AGUGAACGCUGGCGGUAGGCCUAACACAUGCAAGUCGAACGGCAGCACAGUAAGAGCUUGCUCUUACGGGUGGCGAGUGGCGGACGGGUGAGGAAUACAUCGGAAUCUACUUUUUCGUGGGGGAUAACGUAGGGAAACUUACGCUAAUACCGCAUACGACCUACGGGUGAAAGCAGGGGAUCUUCGGACCUUGCGCGAUUGAAUGAGCCGAUGUCGGAUUAGCUAGUUGGCGGGGUAAAGGCCCACCAAGGCGACGAUCCGUAGCUGGUCUGAGAUGAUGAUCAGCCACACUGGAACUGAGACACGGUCCAGACUCCUACGGGAGGCAGCAGUGGGGAAUAUUGGACAAUGGGCGCAAGCCUGAUCCAGCCAUACCGCGUGGGUGAAGAAGGCCUUCGGGUUGUAAAGCCCUUUUGUUUGGAAAGAAAAGCAGCAGGUUAAUACCCCGCUGUUCUGACGUUACCCAAAGAAUAAGCACCGGCUAACUUCGUG
rnacentral:rRNA from 1 species